rnacentral:pre_miRNA from 1 species
UGCAUCCUGGCUCCUGGCGUCCUGCACGUGCUAUUGGAGAGCCCGGAGCCAGGCUGCUGU